GCUUGAUCUUUGUAUGUCACACUCUGCACAGCCUGCCUUGAUCCACAUUUCACUGUCCUUCUCCUGCUUCUCAGAACUUCCUGCCUUGACAAUGGUUGACUGAGGGCUCCCUCAGCUUUGGCUUCAGUCUCGUCACCUGCAUGUCAGCUGCUUGAGGAAUCUUCUCCGACAUGCUGUGGUGUAAAGAGCGUUCUAUCCUAUCCAACCCAACAAGUCUUGGGUGACUCCAUGCUUUCCUCCAGCCAAAGUUCAAACUGAGCCUUCCUUUCAAAACCCACGGCAAUGUGCCAUUUCUGUCGUUAUAACCAUUGCACUACUGGAAUCACUGGACUCCAAAGGCAGAAAGUCCAUACGGGCUAUAGCCCAAGACAAACUAUCUGCGCUUCCAUGCCUGUUCUGUCUAUGGUGACUCUCUCUCUUCCUGGAACUACAUCAUCAGUUUCCAAGAUGCUACCUCCCUGAAAGCUAACUAAGUUUCCAGUUGAAACCACUCUCCUGGCAGCACAUGAGGAAAGUGAAAUAAAGAAUGCAAACAUACUGCUUUAAUCUCGGGU
rnacentral:lncRNA from 1 species